UACGGGGGGAGCAAGCGUUGUUCGGAUUUACUGGGCGUAAAGGGCGCGUAGGCGGUCGUGACAAGUCACUUGUGAAAUCUCCGGGCUUAACUCGGAACGGUCAAGUGAUACUGUCGGACUAGAGUACAGAAGGGGCAACUGGAAUUCUCGGUGUAGCGGUGAAAUGCGUAGAUAUCGAGAGGAACACCUGCGGCGAAGGCGGGUUGCUGGGCUGAUACUGACGCUGAGGCGCGAAGGCCAGGGGAGCAAACGGG
rnacentral:rRNA from 1 species